GGCGGUUAGAAUUUUCACUUACAAUGAAAGAUACCCUAAAGGGCGCUUUUAUAGUUUUAAGGAAGGUAA
rnacentral:tRNA from 1 species